CACGAGCAUAAACUACAUUUUAAAUGCAAAUGGUUGCCGAUACAUUUUCCCGUCCGGUAUUUGGCCUAGUGCACUAAAUUAAUUCUUUAAUGCAACCAAUUCUCAUGUUUAAAAAGAAUAUGUUUUGUUGUUGUUGUUGUUUUGACUGUACGAUCACAAAACGACUCCUCAAAUCUGCGAGUCAGUUCCCGUUAUUCACCUUCAAGAACCGAUUCAAAGAGUUGAUUCAUUUGCAAACGACACCCGACUACAUUUUUUACCUCAGAGAAAACUCCAAGGGAUUUCACCAUCGCAGAAAUCAACGCAAAAUCAAGGAUACUCAACAAUAUUCGCAGGAGCUUGCAAUUUUUCAAAAUUACAGCAGAUGUUCUGCAGAUUUGGGGCGAAACGAGUCAUGUGACAUCAUCUCGACACACAUUCAGCUAAAGCCCUCUUCGACUCACGUGCAAACAUCACUGCGAAAGACGGUGCAGGACAAUUUUGUGCAACUUCAAUGCGUUUUCCGCAAAAAACCUCCGCAAGUUGCAUCACAAAUUUUGAAAAAAGCCGUAACCUUCACAAAAAAACCUUCUGAAAUCCUGUACGGACUGAUUAUCAAGAGUAUCAUUACCUGGAGUUAUUUCUCCUGCAUAGUUUAUAUUCCUCACAUGACGGAUUCAGAAGAAACCAAAAUCCCAGAGAUCCUCCAGGAACAAUUACAUUAAAUGACAUUAAACACCUCCACAUGUAAAACUAACCCCAUCUGAAUAGGAAUUAAUUUGAAUGUUUGCAGUGUGCAUUAUUAUUAUUAUUAUUAUUAUUAUUAUUAUUAUUGUAGAAGGUGGCAGUAGUCAUGAUGGAUGUUUGAGAUGUCACAGAGGGAGCAGCAGUUAAAUUUGGUCUUGUAUAGAUGAAGUAAAUUCUUAGAAGAAAAGUUUUACCACAGGGGUUCUACUUGGAACUGUUUCUCAUAGUUUUAUGUAGAACCCUACAGCCUUCUGUGGUUUAGUGGUUUCUUUGAAGCAGAAAUAAAACCAGUGUACACCACUGAGGUGGAAAAUACUGCAUACUGGAGAUGGUUUAUAGAGAUGUCUGACUUCCUGCUGCAUUAACGCUCUUAAAGAGACCAGCUCGGUUCAUUAGCGGAGUCAUGAAUAAUUGCUGCAUACAUUCUUAGAAGAAAAGGUUAAACCGAAGAACAUUUAGGGUUCUAGAAUAAUCGCCGAUUAGAUUUGGACCACAGACCCUGGUAAAGCCCUUGGUAGAUACUCCACUAAUGAAUCACGCUGGUUUCUCUUGGGCGUGUUAAUGCUGCACGAGGUCAGACAUGGUCUCCAGUGAGCUGUGUUUUCCACCUCAGUGGGGUACACGGUUUUUAUUUCUGUUUCGGUGUGUAGAGGGAAACCACUAAACCACACGAGAGGAGUAAGACACUUACUCCGUCUAAUUAGCAUGUUUUAUUUUCAUGGGCUGUGUUUAAUGAGUAGAAACAUCAGUUAUCAAAAUAUAACUCUUACAGCACACACUGUCACGCAGGAGUUCUCCAGGAAUAACGAUAUACGCCUUCGUCA
ensembl:lncRNA